CUUCCCCAUAGCACGGUUUCUGUUCCCUCCAAGAUUAGAACCACUCGUGUUGCGCCCCACCUUUCUCUUCCUCCCUCUUUUCUAUGCGUUCUACUGUUACGAUGAAGAAGCGGACAAAUUAGUGUGCUUUGUCAAUAUACAUUCUACUGGAAUUGAGGAGUAGCAAGCGUUUUUUUUCUGCAGUACCUUUUCUGUGUUUCUCCUUUUUCUGAUCCCGUUUCUGAAAGAUGCUGCUGAGGACUUCGUCAAUCUACAAGAAAAGGAACUCUCCUGUUACUUCUUAGAGGUUCUAGGGAUUCGAAAUUGGGAAAUUUGGCCGUCGUUAUACCAGAAUGAAGGUGCUUAAACAUUCGAGAGGAACGGCAGCUCUAGGACGCGUUCCAUCUCAGACGUUGCGUGUUCCGUAGCUGUUGCGUUCGAUUUUGCUUCUCUGACUAUGGAAAAGGACGAAAUUUUAGGGUUUCUUCAGUAGUCGCGGGUCUUGGACCAAUAAUUUUGAGGAAUUUUCCAUUUCUCAGGAUUAAUGUGGAGUCGUCGAAGUUUUAGGAUUUCCCCGUCCGGCAUGUAGGAGGAUGAAGAUUUGAAGUUUCGGGAGAUGGAGCUGGUGGAGGCAGAGAUCAGUAGGGUACUCCAGGAUCAUCAGAAGCUGUGCGCGAAUAUCAGGAUCGAGGAGGCGAAGAUCGAUAGCUUGAACAAGGAGAUCAAGCUAUGCGAGGAACGGAUGAGGGAAUCUGUAGCGGGGGACUUGGAGAAGCAGAGGAUGCAGAACCUUCUAAGCUAUCAAUCCACUCUAAUCCUUCGUGCCUCGUCGCAGACGCAGCUGAUCCGGGCUCUUCACGAGGAUUUGCUGGUUCUGUUCUCCAGACGCAAGCAGCUUCGCCAGUCUGGAGUUACAAAUUUGGAGACUGUUCCUAAUGUUUCUCUCAGCUCAGGAUUAUCUUGUGGCAACGAAGAUAAUCAAGAUUUUCCAAAUAAUUGUACAAUAGCUGCUGCAAUGGAUGCCAUGCGAGUGAACGAAGAACAAAACGACAAUUUGGAGGAAGUGACAAAUGAGGAAGAAGAGCAGCUUCCUCUGGGUUUGAAAAUGCUUCAAAUCAAUAUGAAUGAAGAUGCAAGUUUGACUCCAGAAGAAGGGAGCGAAUAUGGUGACCUCCGAUAUAAGGAUAAUAUCUUAGAUAAUCUUGCCAUGACUAUCCUUGAUCCAAGUACAAAUGUUGAUAACAUUUUCAAAGAAGCAAUAGAGAAUUCCGAUUUUGUUGUUGCAGAAUCGCAAGAUACUAGAAUUACGACUAAAAAGGUAGACCGUGUAAGUUGUCGUAACUUUCCCAAGCGUUUGACUGUGGAUUUUGAUGAAAAUGGUAGUCCAAGUGGACCUAAUGCUGGGGGAUUUAAAAGAUCGAUCAACUCAUUUGUCUGCCAAUUUUUACCCAUCAAUUUUAAACAAAUUGGUGAUGUUCCAAUCGAGGACUAUAAAACAGUUUUGAAUAUGUUAACGGAGAGGUACAAUUUUGAUCUUAGUAGGAGCUAUACACGGAAAAAGAUUUCAUCUUGCUACAGGCAACACAAGUAUAAACUGUUAGUUCAAGUCAAGAAAGACCUUGAGAGAGGCAUAGAACCACGGAAGCCAUCUUAUGUAAAAGAAGAAGACUGGGAUGCUUUUGUGGCAAAGACAAGAGAUGAAGAGUUUGACAGGAUAAGCAAGAAAAAUAAAGCCAGUAGAAGCCAGCAGACUGCUCUUAACAGGAAGAAUCUCCCAGGUGGUAGUGUUCGUAAGAGGAAGACGAAAGUAUUGGAACAAAGCUUUGCAGAUGAAGAUAUCUGGGAAAAGGUGCACAAAUCUAAGCGAGGUCGUCCAAAAAAGUUAUCUACUGGUCUGGAUGAAAACCAUGAGGUUGAUGAAAGUAUGGGCCUUCUUGCAACAAUGAGGUGAUUAAUCCAUCGAGUUUGAUUCCAUCCCGGGCGUUUGAAAGAACAACUUGCAAUUUCUCCUAUGGAUUUGAGUCAAAGCAUCGUCGAAGGAACUCAGUAAAGAUUGACUUGUUCCUGUCCAACCUGCUGCCAAAAAGUUAUUGAAUAAGAAAAAUUAAGUAUGCAGUACAUAACCAAAUUCUUUAAUUUACUUCUACUGCCUUGCUUCACAGUGACUGAGUGACAUGGCGAACUUCUCCUGUUUGUAGGAGGUCAAAACUAUGUAUCUUAUUUCCUGUCUACAGGAAUGUGGGAACUUUCCACUGGGAGGAAAUUUAUGUCACAAGUAAAUUAAGAAAUGUAAUGUACAAAUGGAAACAGGGUCUAAAGGACAUAGAUUCUCUUGGAUUUUGUUAUUUUGUAAUGGAAUAUGUGGAAACAUUUGAUGCAAUGGAUGGUCAUCUAUCUGUUUGACUGGCAGCAUUCUUCAAUCAUUUUCCUUUUCCAUGGAUUUUAUCUUUAUUUUAUUUUCUCCAGUGGAGCCGUGGAAUUGAUGGAAUCAUCUUCUGAAAAGAUACUAAAGUAAGCAAAUUAUAAACCUUGAAAGUUGAAACUAUAACUUAUCUAACCAGGACCAGUAAUAAUGUUCAACCACCUCCUGUUCCGAAUAUCGAGGAAUUCGCUUCAGGUGUGAGCCAGGCCAAGGAGUUCAUGAUUGUGGUUACUGCUAACUAUGUGGCUGGAGUUAUCCAAGAAGCAACAUUGAGCUACUUAUCACUUGGAGCAUUAUUACUGCAAAAAAACGACUUCUCAUGCAAGCAACUGUAUUUUGUAACCUGUAAUUCCUAAAUGGGCUUCAUAUAAUUGAAGAAGGCUAUCUUAUCAUUUAUGUGACGGUUAGGAACUGUUCUUGAGAAUUUAUGCCAUUUCAGUGCCCUGAAUUCUUCUUAGCCUUCUCCAACAAUCGAAGUUGAGGUUUCCCAUUAAGCUUCUUGAAACCUAAGUGUGAUGCUCAGUAUGUGCCUAUGUGUAGUUUAUACUUAAUACAUUUUGAAAAACAUGCACUGAUGCUUUU